rnacentral:rRNA from 1 species
CAGUCGCCGCGGGAAUACGAAGGGUGCAAGCGUUACUCGGAAUUACUGGGCGUAAAGCGUGUGUAGGUGGUUGUUUAAGUCUGUCGUGAAAGCCCUGGGCUCAACCUGGGAAUUGCGAUGGAUACUGGGCGACUAGAGUGCGGUUGAGGAUAGUGGAAUUUCCGGUGUAGCAGUGAAAUGCGUAGAGAUCGGAAGGAACAUCUGUGGCGAAGGCGACUAUCUGGGACAACACUGACGCUGAGGCACGAAAGCGUGGGGAGCAAACAGGAUUAGAUACCCCCGUAGUCCCUGUCUCUUAUAC